rnacentral:rRNA from 1 species
GAAACGACUGCUAAGACUGGAUAGGAAGAUAAAAGGCAUCUUUUAUCUUUUAAAAGACCUAGUAAUAGGUAUGCUUUAGGAGGGGCUUGCGCCAUAUUAGUUAGUUGGUAGGGUAAUGGCCUACCAAGACGAUGAUGUGUAGCUGGACUGAGAGGUUGAACAGCCACAUUGGGACUGAGACACGGCCCAAACUCCUACGGGAGGCAGCAGUAGGGAAUUUUCGGCAAUGGAGGAAACUCUGACCGAGCAACGCCGCGUGAAUGACGAAGUACUUCGGUAUGUAAAGUUCUUUUAUCAAGGAAGAAAAGCAAAUGGCGAACCAUUUGUUUGCCGGUACUUGAUGAAUAAGCCCCGGCUAAUUAUGUGCCAGCAGCCGCGGUAAGACAUAAGGGGCAAGUGUUAUCCGGAAUUAUUGGGCGUAAAGGGUGCGUAGGCGGUCUAGUAAGUCAGUGGUGUAAUGGCAACGCUUAACGUUGUCCGGCUAUUGAAACUGCUAAACUUGAGUUAGAUAGAGGCGAGUGGAAUUCCAUGUGUAGCGGUAAAAUGCGUAAAUAUAUGGAGGAACACCAGAGGCGUAGGGCGGCUCGCUGGGUCUUAACUGACGCUGAGGCACGAAAGCGUGGGGAGCAAACAGGAUUAGAUACCCUGGUAGUCCACGCCGUAAACGAUGAGUACUAAGUGUCGGGUUAAACCGGUACUGAAGUUAACACAUUAAGUACUCCGCCUGAGUAGUACGUACGCAAGUAUGAAACUUAAAGGAAUUGACGGGACUCCGCACAAGCGGUGGAUCAUGUUGUUUAAUUCGAAGAUACCCGAAAAACCUUACCAGGUCUUGGCAUGUUUUUGCAAAAUGAUAGUAAUAUCGUGGAGGUUACCAGAAACACAGGUGGUGCAUGGUUGUCGUCAGCUCGUGUCGUGAGAUGUAAGGUUAAGUCCUAAAACGAGCGAAACCCUUAUCGUUAGUUGCCAGCACGUUAUGGUGGGGACUUUAACGAGACUGCCAAUGAUAAAUUGGAGGAAGGUGAGGAUCACGUCAAAUCAGCAUGCCCCUUAUGACCUGGGCUACAAACGUGAUACAAUAGCUGUUACAAAGGGUAGCUGAAACGCAAGUUCUUGGCCAAUCCCCAAAAACAGUCCCAGUCCGGAUUGAAGUCUGCAACUCGACUUCAUGAAGUUGGAAUCGCUAGUAAUCGCGAAUCAGCAUGUCGCGGGGAAUACGUUCACGGGGUUUGUACACACCGCCCGUCA